UUGUAAUAAACCCUUCAGGUUUUGGAAGGGGGAGCCGUCAAAAGCUCCCCUGGUACAUGCCUCACCCCUUGCAUAUCUACCACGUUGCUUUGGCGGGCCGACCCGGUUUCGACCCGGGCGGCCGGCGCCCCCAGCCUGCUCGCCAGGCCAGGACGCCCGGCUAAGUGCCCGCCAGUAGACAAAACUCCAGCGAUUAUUCUGUGUAGUCCUGAGAAUUUAUUCAAUAAAUUAAAACUUUCAACAACGGAUCUCUUGGUUCUGGCAUCGAUGAAGAACGCAGCGAAAUGCGAUAAGUAAUGUGAAUUGCAGAAUUCAGUGAAUCAUCGAAUCUUUGAACGCACAUUGCGCCCUCUGGCAUUCCGGAGGGCAUGCCUGUUCGAGCGUCAUUUCAACCCUCAAGCUCCGCUUGGUAUUGGGCGACGUCUGCUGCCAGACGCGCCUGGAAGACCUCGGCGACGGCAUUCCAGCCUCGAGCGUAGUAGUAAAAUAUCUCGCUUUGGAGGAUGGGGUGACGGCUUGCCGGACAACCGACCUCUGGUCAUUUUUUCCAAGGUUGACCUCGGAUCAGGUAGGGAUACCCGCUGAACUUAAGCAUAUCAAUAAGCCCGGAG
rnacentral:rRNA from 1 species